AGUGAAUCGACAGCUAAAAUUAGUGAUUUAAACUGAUCUUUGUUCAAUACACACAAAUGCUCGCCUAAAUUCAACGAAAUCAGUGGCUAAAAGAGCAAAAUCAAAACCUAAAUCAGUGAAAUACACGGCUAAAAUCAGUGAUUUAAAGUGAUAUUCAUCCAAUAUACAUAUAUCCACACCUUAAAUCAGUGAAAUCAACGGCAUUUUGGAGGAAAUUACACGAAUGACUUGAAACCAGAGGCGUAUUGAAGCUAGUAUUUAUCAUAAAAGGGCUAUUUAUAGACUAAUUCAAACACAUUACCAUAAACGAGUUGAAAUCUGAUCUCCUUACAUAAAAGCUAAAGAAUUUGAG
rnacentral:lncRNA from 1 species